AUUGAACGCUGGCGGCAGGCCUAACACAUGCAAGUCGAGCGAGCGGCGGGCGGGUGAGAGGUGCCUGGGAGUUGCCCAGUCGAGGGUGAUAACAGUUGCACACGACUGCUAAUACCGCAUACGAUUCUAUUGCCCAGGUGGGGUUAGCUAGUGGGUGAGGUAAUGGCGCACCAAGGCGACGAUCCCUAGCUGGUCUGAGAGGAUGAUCAGCCACACUGGAACUGAGACACGGUCCAGACUCCUACGGGAGGCAGCAGUGGGGAAUAUUGCACAAUGGGGGAAACCCUGAUGCAGCCAUGCCGCGUGUGUGAAGAAGGCCUUCGGGUUGUAAAGCACUUUCAGUGAGGAGGCGUUACUCGCAGAAGAAGCACCGGCUAACUCCGUGCCAGCAGCCGCGGUAAUUC
rnacentral:rRNA from 1 species